AGUGAACGCUGGCGGUAGGCCUAACACAUGCAAGUCGAACGGCAGCACAGUAAGAGCUUGCUCUUACGGGUGGCGAGUGGCGGACGGGUGAGGAAUACAUCGGAAUCUACUUUUUCGUGGGGGAUAACGUAGGGAAACUUACGCUAAUACCGCAUACGACCUACGGGUGAAAGCAGGGGAUCUUCGGACCUUGCGCGAUUGAAUGAGCCGAUGUCGGAUUAGCUAGUUGGCGGGGUAAAGGCCCACCAAGGCGACGAUUCGUAGCUGGUGGGAGAGGAUGGUCAGCGACACGGGAGCUGAGACACGGUCCAGACUCCUACGGGAGGCAGCAGUGUGGAAUAUUGGACAAUGGGCGCAAGCCUGAUCCAGCCAUACCGAGUGGGUGAAGAAGGCCUUCGGGUUGUAAAGCCCUUUUGUUGGGAAAGAAAAGCAGCAGGUUAAUACCCCGCUGUUCUGACGGUACCCAAAGAAUAAGCACCGGCUAACUACGUG
rnacentral:rRNA from 1 species